UACGAAGGGGGCUAGCGUUGUUCGGAUUUACUGGGCGUAAAGCGCACGUAGGCGGAUCGUUAAGUCAGGGGUGAAAUCCUGGAGCUCAACUCCAGAACUGCCUUUGAUACUGGCGAUCUUGAGUCCGGAAGAGGUGAGUGGAACUCCUAGUGUAGAGGUGGAAUUCGUAGAUAUUAGGAAGAACACCAGUGGCGAAGGCGGCUCACUGGUCCGGUACUGACGCUGAGGUGCGAAAGCGUGGGAGCAAACAGG
rnacentral:rRNA from 1 species